AGUGGGGAAUAUUGCGCAAUGGGCGAAAGCCUGACGCAGCGACGCCGCGUGUGGGAUGAAGGCCUUCGGGUCGUAAACCACUGUCGCGAGGGACGAACACAAUGACGGUACCUCGAAAGGAAGCACCGGCUAACUCUGUGCCAGCAGCCGCGGUAAUACAGAGGGUGCGAGCGUUGUCCGGAAUCACUGGGCGUAAAGGGCGCGUAGGUGGCCUGAUAAGUAGGGGGUGAAAUCUCACGGCUCAACCGGGAGGCUGCCUUCUAGACUGUUAGGCUCGAGCAUGGUAGAGGCUGGUGGAAUUCCCGGUGUAGCGGUGGAAUGCGUAGAGAUCGGGAAGAACAUCGGUGGCGAAGGCGGCCAGCUGGGCCAUUGCUGACACUGAGGCGCGAAAGCGUGGGGAGCAAA
rnacentral:rRNA from 1 species